rnacentral:rRNA from 1 species
UUAAGUUAAUAAGGGCGCACGGUGGAUGCCUUGGCACUAGGAGCCGACGAAGGACGUGACAAACGACGAUAUGCCUUGGGUAGCUGUAAGUAAGCGAUGAUCCAGGGAUUUCCGAAUGGGGGAACCCAACAGGUAGUACCUGUUACCCACAUCUGUCAAGGAUGUGAGGAGGAAGACGCAGUGAACUGAAACAUCUAAGUAGCUGCAGGAAGAGAAAGCAAAAGCGAUUGCCUUAGUAGCGGCGAGCGAAACGGCAGGAGGGCAAACCGAAGAGUUUACUCUUCGGGGUUGUAGGACUGCAAUGUGGACUCAAAGAUUAUAGAAGAAUGAUUUGGGAAGAUCAGCCAAAGAGAGUAAUAGCCUCGUAUUUAAAAUAGUCUUUGUACCUAGCAGUAUCCUGAGUACGGCGGGACACGUGAAAUCCCGUCGGAAUCUGGGAGGACCAUCUCCCAACCCUAAAUACUCCCUAGUGACCGAUAGUGAACCAGUACCGUGAGGGAAAGGUGAAAAGCACCCCGGGAGGGGAGUGAAAUAGAACCUGAAACCGUGUGCCUACAACAAGUUCGAGCCCGUUAAUGGGUGAGAGCGUGCCUUUUGUAGAAUGAACCGGCGAGUUACGUUAUGAUGCGAGGUUAAGUUGAAGAGACGGAGCCGUAGGGAAACCGAGUCUGAAUAGGGCGCCUUAGUAUCAUGACGUAGACCCGAAACCAUGUGACCUACCCAUGAGCAGGUUGAAGGUGCGGUAAGACGCACUGGAGGACCGAACCAGGGCACGUUGAAAAGUGCUUGGAUGACUUGUGGGUAGCGGAGAAAUUCCAAACGAACUUGGAGAUAGCUGGUUCUCUCCGAAAUAGCUUUAGGGCUAGCGUCGACAUUAGAGAUUCUUGGAGGUAGAGCACUGUUUGGGUGAGGGGUCCAUCCCGGAUUACCAAUCUCAGAUAAACUCCGAAUGCCAAUGAAUUAUGGUCGGCAGUCAGACUGCGAGUGCUAAGAUCCGUAGUCGAAAGGGAAACAGCCCAGACCACCAGCUAAGGUCCCAAAAUAAUUGUUAAGUGGAAAAGGAUGUGGGGUUGCACAGACAACUAGGAUGUUAGCUUAGAAGCAGCUAUUCAUUCAAAGAGUGCGUAAUAGCUCACUAGUCGAGUGACCCUGCGCCGAAAAUGUACCGGGGCUAAAACAAUUUACCGAAGCUGUGGAUACCUUUAUAGGUAUGGUAGGAGAGCGUUCUAUGUGUGAUGAAGGUAUACCGUGAGGAGUGCUGGAACGCAUAGAAGUGAGAAUGCCGGUAUGAGUAGCGAAAGACAGGUGAGAAUCCUGUCCACCGUAAGACUAAGGUUUCCAGGGGAAGGCUCGUCCGCCCUGGGUUAGUCGGGACCUAAGGAGAGACCGAAAGGUGUAUCCGAUGGACAACAGGUUGAUAUUCCUGUACUAGAGUAUGUAGUGAUGGAGGGACGCAGUAGGCUAACUAAAGCAGACGAUUGGAAGAGUCUGUCUAAGCAGUGAGGUGUGAAUUGAGUCAAAUGCUUAAUUCUAUAACAUUGAGCUGUGAUGGGGAGCGAAGUUUAGUAGCGAAGUUAGUGACGUCACACUGCCAAGAAAAGCUUCUAGCGUUUAAACAUACUCUACCCGUACCGCAAACCGACACAGGUAGUCGAGGCGAGUAGCCUCAGGUGAGCGAGAGAACUCUCGUUAAGGAACUCGGCAAAAUGACCCCGUAACUUCGGGAGAAGGGGUGCUGACUUUAAGUCAGCCGCAGUGAAUAGGCCCAAGCAACUGUUUAUCAAAAACACAGCUCUCUGCUAAAUCGUAAGAUGAUGUAUAGGGGGUGACGCCUGCCCGGUGCUGGAAGGUUAAGAGGAGUGCUUAGCGUAAGCGAAGGUAUGAAUUGAAGCCCCAGUAAACGGCGGCCGUAACUAUAACGGUCCUAAGGUAGCGAAAUUCCUUGUCGGGUAAGUUCCGACCCGCACGAAAGGCGUAAUGAUUUGGGCACUGUCUCAACGAGAGACUCGGUGAAAUUUUAGUACCUGUGAAGAUGCAGGUUACCCGCGACAGGACGGAAAGACCCCAUGGAGCUUUACUGCAGUUUGAUAUUGAGUGUCUGUACCACAUGUACAGGAUAGGUAGGAGUCUAAGAGAUCGGGACGCCAGUUUCGAAGGAGACGCUGUUGGGAUACUACCCUUGUGUUAUGGCCACUCUAACCCAGAUAGGUGAUCCCUAUCGGAGACAGUGUCUGACGGGCAGUUUGACUGGGGCGGUCGCCUCCUAAAAGGUAACGGAGGCGCCCAAAGGUUCCCUCAGAAUGGUUGGAAAUCAUUCGCAGAGUGUAAAGGUAUAAGGGAGCUUGACUGCGAGAGCUACAACUCGAGCAGGGACGAAAGUCGGGCUUAGUGAUCCGGUGGUUCCGUAUGGAAGGGCCAUCGCUCAACGGAUAAAAGCUACCCUGGGGAUAACAGGCUUAUCUCCCCCAAGAGUUCACAUCGACGGGGAGGUUUGGCACCUCGAUGUCGGCUCGUCGCAUCCUGGGGCUGUAGUCGGUCCCAAGGGUUGGGCUGUUCGCCCAUUAAAGCGGCACGCGAGCUGGGUUCAGAACGUCGUGAGACAGUUCGGUCCCUAUCCGUCGCGGGCGUAGGAAAUUUGAGAGGAUCUGCUCCUAGUACGAGAGGACCAGAGUGGACUUACCGCUGGUGUACCAGUUGUCUUGCCAAAGGCAUCGCUGGGUAGCUAUGUAGGGAAGGGAUAAACGCUGAAAGCAUCUAAGUGUGAAACCCACCUCAAGAUGAGAUUUCCCAUGAUUAUAUAUCAGUAAGAGCCCUGAGAGAUGAUCAGGUAGAUAGGUUAGAAGUGGAAGUGUGGCGACACAUGUAGCGGACUAAUACUAAUAGCUCGAGGACUUAUCCAA